UAGGGAAUCUUCCACAAUGGACGCAAGUCUGAUGGAGCAACGCCGCGUGAGUGAAGAAGGUUUUCGGAUCGUAAAACUCUGUUGUUGGUGAAGAAGGAUAGAGGCAGUAACUGGUCUUUAUUUGACGGUAAUCAACCAGAAAGUCACGGCUAACUACGUGCCAG
rnacentral:rRNA from 1 species